rnacentral:lncRNA from 1 species
CAAGUAUUCAGCCCAAGUUUAUUACCACAGUGGACUCGGGUUAUAAUUACCAACAGAGGAGAGAAUAACUAUAAGUUAUUUUGAUGUAAAAAGCAUAUUAUCCUAAGCCAACAUAAUAACACAGUUUUUAUGAAGCACAAUAAUUACACUGAAGACUCACAGAAGUGCAUUUUUCUAAAAGAAGGAGAUUCUCAUACAGAAACAGAUUAACAGAAACAGAAACAGCAACACUAGAGAACAGCAAAAUAGUAACAUUUCAAGAAAAUAUAUACACCUUCACAGUAUGUGAUGGUAUCCACUUACUGUCUACUGCCUCCAUAACUCCUAAAGUCUUCUGAAGAUUUAUUAAUGCUUUGAAUAUAUGAGCCACCGUUUCUUUUCACAGCCUUUUCACAACUGGGAAUUCUUUAGAGAAAGGCAAUCUUACUUCAUUUACUUACUUCAUCAGUAAUGCCAUUACUAUGCCUACUUAAGAAGAAAAUAUAUCAUGUGGCAGAGGACUAGAAAGAAAAAACAACAACAAAAGGCUGUGAAGAUUUGAUCAUAUGCCUACGUGUGUGGUGAAUACAAUAU